GAAGUAGUGCCUAUGCGCUAUUUAGUGGCAAACGGGUGAGUAACACGUAGCUUAGCUGUCCUAAAGUGGGGGAUAGCCGCGGGAAGCCGCGGGUAAUACCGCAUGUGAUCUACGGAUUAAAGCUUAAUGCGCUUUAGGAGGUGGCUGCGGCCCAUCAGGUUGUUGGCGGGGUAAUGGCCCACCAAGCCUAUGACGGGUAUCCGGCCUGAGAGGGUGAUCGGACACAUUGGAACCGAGACACGGUCCAGACUCCUACGGGAGGCAGCAGCUAGGAAUUUUCCGCAAUGGACGAAAGUCUGACGGAGCAACGCCGCGUGAAGGAUGAAGGUCUUUAGGGAUUGUAAACUUCUUUUAUAUGAGACGAGUAAGGACGGUAUCAUAAGAAUAAGUCCCGGCUAACUACGUGCCAGCAGCCGCGGUAAUACGUAGGGGGCUAGCGUUGUUCGGAAUUACUGGGUAUAAAGGGUGCGCAGGCGGAUUUCUAAGCAAGAGGUGAAAUGUCAAGGCUCAACCAUGGCACUGCCUUUUGAACUGGUCAUCUGGAGUACAGAAGGGGAGAGCAGAAUUUCCGGUGUAGGGGUGGAAUCUAUAGAUAUCGGAA
rnacentral:rRNA from 1 species